rnacentral:rRNA from 1 species
GGAGGAAGUAGGGGAUCGCAAGACCUUGCGCUUUUGGAGCGGCCGAUGCCUGAUUAGCUUGUUGGUGAGGUAAAAGCUCACCAAGGCUCCGAUCAGUAGCUGGUCUGAGAGGACGACCAGCCACACUGGGACUGAGACACGGCCCAGACUCCUACGGGAGGCAGCAGUGGGGAAUUUUGGACAAUGGGGGCAACCCUGAUCCAGCCAUGCCGCGUGAGUGAAGAAGGCCUUCGGGUUGUAAAGCUCUUUCAGCCGGAACGAAACGGUCACGGUCAAUACCCGUGACUACUGACGGUACCGGAAGAAGAAGCACCGGCUAACUACGUGCCAGCAGCCGCGGUAAUACGUAGGGUGCGAGCGUUAAUCGGAAUUACUGGGCGUAAAGCGUGCGCAGGCGGCUUUGUAAGUCAGAUGUGAAAUCCCCGGGCUUAACCUGGGAACUGCGUUUGAAACUACAAGGCUAG